CGGCCAGACUCCUACGGGAGGCAGCAGUGGGGAAUAUUGCACAAUGGGGGGAACCCUGAUGCAGCGACGCCGCGUGAGUGAAGAAGUAUUUCGGUAUGUAAAGCUCUGUCAGCAGGGAAGAAGAAAGACGGUACCUGACCAAGAAGCCCCGGCUAACUACGUGCCAGCAGCCGCGGUAAUACGUAGGGGGCAAGCGUUAUCCGGAUUUACUGGGUGUAAAGGGAGCGUAGACGGCAGGGCAAGUCUGGAGUGAAAGGCAGGGGCCCAACCCCUGGACUGCUCUGGAAACUGACCGGCUGGAGUGCAGGAGAGGUAAGUGGAAUUCCUAGUGUAGCGGUGAAAUGCGUAGAUAUUAGGAGGAACACCAGUGGCGAAGGCGGCCUGCUGGGCUUUUACUGACGCUGAGGCUCGAAAGUGUGGGGAGCAAACAGGAUUAGAUACCCGAGUA
rnacentral:rRNA from 1 species